rnacentral:rRNA from 1 species
UGGGGAAUAUUGCGCAAUGGGGGAAACCCUGACGCAGCGACGCCGCGUGGGUGAUGAAGGCCUUCGGGUCGUAAAGCCCUGUCGUAAGGGAAGAAGUGUCGCGUAGAUAAUACCUGCGUGGCUUGACGGUACCUUACAAGAAAGCACCGGCUAACUCCGUGCCAGCAGCCGCGGUAAUACGGAGGGUGCUAGCGUUGUUCGGAAUCACUGGGCGUAAAGCGCGUGUAGGCGGCCAAUUAAGUCUGGUGUGAAAGCCCGGGGCUCACCCCCGGAAGUGCGCUGGAAACUGACUGGCUAGAGUAUGGGAGAGGGAAGCGGAAUUCCUGGUGUAGCGGUGAAAUGCGUAGAUAUCAGGAGGAACACCGGCGGCGAAGGCGGCUUCCUGGACCAAUACUGACGCUGAGACGCGAAAGCGUGGGGAGCAAACAGGAUUAGAUACCCCCGUAGUCC